UACGUAGGGUGCGAGCGUUGUCCGGAAUUAUUUGGGCGUAAAGAGCUCGUAGGCGGUUUUGUUGCGUCGGGCCGUGAAAACUCAGGGCUUUAACUCUGAGCCUGCGGUCGAUACGGGCAGACUUGAGUUCGGUAGGGGAGACUGGAAUUCCUGGUGUAGCGGUGAAAUGCGCAGAUAUCAGGAGGAACACCGGUGGCGAAGGCGGGUCUCUGGGCCGAUACUGACGCUGAGGAGCGAAAGCGUGGGGAGCGAACAGG
rnacentral:rRNA from 1 species